rnacentral:rRNA from 1 species
CCUACGGGAGGCAGCAGUGGGGAAUUUUGGACAAUGGGCGCAAGCCUGAUCCAGCAAUGCCGCGUGCAGGAUGAAGGCCUUCGGGUUGUAAACUGCUUUUGUACGGAACGAAACGGUGAGCUCUAAUACAGUUUGCUAAUGACGGUACCGUAAGAAUAAGCACCGGCUAACUACGUGCCAGCAGCCGCGGUAAUACGUAGGGUGCGAGCGUUAAUCGGAAUUACUGGGCGUAAAGCGUGCGCAGGCGGUGAUGUAAGACAGAUGUGAAAUCCCCGGGCUCAACCUGGGACCUGCAUUUGUGACUGCAUCGCUAGAGUACGGUAGAGGGGGAUGGAAUUCCGCGUGUAGCAGUGAAAUGCGUAGAUAUGCGGAGGAACACCGAUGGCGAAGGCAAUCCCCUGGACCUGUACUGACGCUCAUGCACGAAAGCGUGGGGAGCAAACAGGAUUAGAUACCCUGGUAGUCCACGCCCUAAACGAUGUCAACUGGUUGUUGGGUCUUCACUGACUCAGUAACGAAGCUAAACGCGUGAAAGUUGAACCCGCCGUGGGUUAGGUUACGGUCCGCGAAGGUUAGGUUAACGUUACGAAGGAAGUUAGACGGCGNGAGACGNGCGACGGACGACGACGAGGGAGGAGG